AAAACUUUCAACAACGGAUCUCUUGGUUCCAGCAUCGAUGAAGAACGCAGCGAAAUGCGAUAACUAAUGUGAAUUGCAGAAUUCAGUGAAUCAUCGAAUCUUUGAACGCACAUUGCGCCCCUUGGUAUUCCGAGGGGCAUGCCUGUUCGAGCGUCAUUACACCCCUCAAGCGUAGCUUGGUAUUGGGUCUCGUCCCUGAGGCGUGCCCGAAAGUCAGUGGCGGUCCGGCGUGACUUUAAGCGUAGUAAAAUUU
rnacentral:rRNA from 1 species